GCCAGUGAGGUGAGGGAUGAACAGUUGGGAGCAUUAGGAUUCCUGAAAUGGCUGAAAAAACACUUUGCAUCUUAGUCUAAAUAGCUUUAUAUAUAUAUAUAUAUAUAUAUAUAUAUAUUUAUAUAUAAAGCUAUUUAGACUAAGAUGCAAAGUGUUUUUUCAGCCAUUUCAGGAAUCCUAAUGCUCCCAACUGUUCAUCCCUCACCUCACUGGCA
rnacentral:miRNA from 1 species